CAUGCAGUCGAGCGGUAGAGAGAAGCUUGCUUCUCUUGAGAGCGGCGGACGGGUGAGUAAUGCCUAGGAAUCUGCCUGGUAGUGGGGGAUAACGUUCGGAAACGGACGCUAAUACCGCAUACGUCCUACGGGAGAAAGCAGGGGACCUUCGGGCCUUGCGCUAUCAGAUGAGCCUAGGUCGGAUUAGCUAGUUGGUGAGGUAAUGGCUCACCAAGGCGACGAUCCGUAACUGGUCUGAGAGGAUGAUCAGUCACACUGGAACUGAGACACGGUCCAGACUCCUACGGGAGGCAGCAGUGGGGAAUAUUGGACAAUGGGCGAAAGCCUGAUCCAGCCAUGCCGCGUGUGUGAAGAAGGUCUUCGGAUUGUAAAGCACUUUAAGUUGGGAGGAAGGGUUGUAGAUUAAUACUCUGCAAUUUUGACGUUACCGACAGAAUAAGCACCGGCUAACUCUGUGCCAGCAGCCGCGGUAAUACAGAGGGUGCAAGCGUUAAUCGGAAUUACUGGGCGUAAAGCGCGCGUAGGUGGUUUGUUAAGUUGGAUGUGAAAUCCCCGGGCUCAACCUGGGAACUGCAUUCAAAACUGACUGACUAGAGUAUGGUAGAGGGUGGUGGAAUUUCCUGUGUAGCGGUGAAAUGCGUAGAUAUAGGAAGGAACACCAGUGGCGAAGGCGACCACCUGGACUAAUACUGACACUGAGGUGCGAAAGC
rnacentral:rRNA from 1 species